CAGCAGCCGCGGUAAUACGGAGGAUCCAAGCGUUAUCCGGAAUCAUUGGGUUUAAAGGGUCCGUAGGCGGUCUUGUAAGUCAGUGGUGAAAGCCCAUCGCUCAACGGUGGAACGGCCAUUGAUACUGCAGGACUUGAAUUAUUGGGAAGUAACUAGAAUAUGUAGUGUAGCGGUGAAAUGCUUAGAGAUUACAUGGAAUACCAAUUGCGAAGGCAGGUUACUACCAAUUGAUUGACGCUGAUGGACGAAAGCGUGGGUAGCGAACAGGAUUAGAUACCCCGGUAGUCCCUGUCUCUUAUAC
rnacentral:rRNA from 1 species